rnacentral:rRNA from 1 species
AUUGAACGCUGGCGGCAUGCUUUACACAUGCAAGUCGAACGGCAGCACGGUCUUCGCCCUCUCUUCCAGGUGCCGACGGGUGGGUGAUAGAUCGAUACGUCCCCAUUUGCUUUUUCUAGCGCGGCGAAGUCGGGAUUAAUACGCCAUUCCACCAUACGGCCUACGCGUGGGAUCUGCGGACCUUCCGCCCUUGCACCGUCCGAUGAGCCGAUGUCGGAUUAGCUAGUUGGCGGGGUAAAGGCCCACCAAGGCGACGCUCCGGAGCUGGGCUGAGAGGAUGAUCAGCCACACUGGAACUGAGACACGGUCCAGACUCCUACGGGAGGCAGCAGUGGGGAAUAUUGGACAAUGGGCGCAAGCCUGAUCCAGCCAUACCGCGUGGGUGAAGAAGGCCUUCGGGUUGUAAAGCCCUUUUGUUGGGAAAGAAAAGCAGCAGGUUAAUACCCCGGUUUGCUGACGGUACCCGAAGAAUAAGCACCGGCUAACUUCGUG